UUAAAUUGAAGAGUUUGAUCAUGGCUCAGAUUGAACGCUGGCGGCAGGCCUAACACAUGCAAGUCGAGCGGAAACGAGUUAUCUGAACCUUCGGGGAACGAUAACGGCGUCGAGCGGCGGACGGGUGAGUAAUGCCUAGGAAAUUGCCCUGAUGUGGGGGAUAACCAUUGGAAACGAUGGCU
rnacentral:rRNA from 1 species